CGCCAGAUUGCUCAGUUGGUAGAGCACCUGACUAGAGAUUCAGGGGGCCCGGGUUCGAAACCCGGUCUGGUCC
rnacentral:tRNA from 1 species